UAAGAGUAAGAAAAACAAGGCUAGAUCUUUGGAUGUUAAAGGAUGAACCUAAUGAGAGGGUAACUUUGGCAGUAUGUCAACAUAAUGCAAAAUCUGCUCCUUAGUUUUGUAGGUUUAAAAACUCAAAUUGAUCAAUGUACUCCAUAAUAUUAACACUCUAGGAGAGGUAAUUCAAUCCAAUAAAAUUCAUUAGAGAAAGAGUUAUCAACCCCAAUACAAAACAGUUAAGUCAUAGUGGAAGAAAGUUUGGAAUUCCAGUAACUGUAAAAUUUUGUCCAUAAUUAGGAAUAGUAAUUUUAUGAAAUGUCCUACAUAACAGACUCGUCUUUGCUAUUGUGAACAGUGCUGCAAUAAACAUAUGUGUGCAUGUGUCUUUAUAGCAGAAUGAUUUAAAUCCUUUUGGUAUAUACUCAGUAAUGGGAUUGUUGGGUCAAAUGGUAUUUCUAGUUCUAGAUCCUUGAGGAAUCGCCACACUGUUUUCCACAAUGGUUGAACUAAUUUACACUCCCACCAACAGUGUAACACGUGCCUAUUUCUCCACAUUCUCUCUAGCAUCUGUAAAACAGAUUUUAAGAUGAUAGGGACCUAAUGACUU
rnacentral:lncRNA from 10 species